rfam:Gossypium hirsutum cultivar TM-1 chromosome 16, whole genome shotgun sequence
AAACCAUGCAUCAGGCAUUUUCUAAUUAAUUCCUUGAAACGCUCUCAUGCUUCGAAUAAUGUCUCAUCUUCAAAUUGCGUGAAUGAUGUAAUGUCAUUCCUCAUCUU